UGUACUUCAGUGCAAACAAUAAGGUUAUUGUUCAGAUGGGAAAACAAGCAAUUUGUUGGAAGGCGAAAAGGUGAAAAUGUUUUAUAAGCUGAUUUUGUUUUGGCAGGCUGUGCGUCAUUUUCCAGGUAGUCUUAAAAGAUGUAUUUAAUGGACACAUGUUUAAAGAUUUGACCACUUGUGAAAGCAAGGAUUCCUUCUAGUUUUCUUAGCUCUUGGGUGGGAUUUUUUUUGUCCUUUGGUUUUUAUGUAUUUAGAUCCAGUGGCUCAAUAUGCUUAUUAAGUAAGGACAGUAGGGUCCCAGAUAACAUUGCCUGUUCUGUUUCUCUCCAGCAUGCAAGCAUUGGGGAUUUGUGGCUGGAAAUCUUUCAAGGUGACAACACAUCAAUGAGUUAAUAUGACCCAGGACUAUGAUGAAUGAAGCUGCUGUGACUCCUUAGCUCAACGACACCACUCUGCCUGUGUGACGUGCUUUCUCCAGUGGAAUGUGAGCAGCGUGACACAUGCCGUGUUUGAAGUCUGAAGAGCCAUAUUUGAUUCAACCAUCUCCAUUUUUUCGUGCAAUGAGAAGGGUAUGUCCCAAAGAAAGACUACUUCUGUUCCUUGGCUUCUGGGAUGAGGAUGUAUGUGGACCAGAUUCACGGUCAGUGUGCAGCUGCCACAGCCCCAAACCUUCGCAAGAAAAAAAAUCUCACGAUGAAAAUUCCACACGUUACUAGGAUUACUUCAUAAACAGAACAUUCUCGACUUUGGAAUUCCCCACAGACUCUGAACUAAGCUUACCCAUACAGAAAAACCUGAAUUCAUUUUGAAAUGGGAGGAAAGCAGGGCAAAAUGUUAUCUUUGAGCUGUGACAUUUGGCUUCCAGUGGACACACAAAGUGGAGACACAUCAAAUGUCAAAUACGCUGAUAAUGGACAGGAAGUACCGCUGUCGAAAUGGCAAGCUCGACCUUCGCUGGCAGCAAAACCUUGGAUGAAACACAACUGCUCCAACCUCAAGUCACCCAGGGAGUGAGCAAAGCUGGGCCUGGAGGUGAGGAUGCGGGAUCAUGAUGCUUGAGGAUCUCAGGACAUCUCACAGACAACCAGACUGAAGUCUGGCCAACGGGGAGGGCCCAGAGUAUUUAUCCAUUGUUGUGAGAUGAGCAAGGCAGAAAAAUAGUUCCUGCUUCCAAGUCUUCCCUGGCUGCAUUAUCAGGAAAACAAGACAAUAUAAUACAGAAAUAAAAUACAGAAACUUCCUCUUUGCCA
rnacentral:lncRNA from 1 species